CGAUUGAACGCUGGCGGCAUGCCUUACACAUGCAAGUCGAACGGCAGCACGGGGGCAACCCUGGUGGCGAGUGGCGAACGGGUGAGUAAUGCAUCGGAACGUGCCCAGUAGUGGGGGAUAACUAGUCGAAAGAUUAGCUAAUACCGCAUACGACCUAUGGGUGAAAGCGGGGGAUUCGCAAGAACCUCGCGCUAUCGGAGCGGCCGAUGUCUGAUUAGCUAGUUGGCGGGGUAAAAGCCCACCAAGGCUUCGAUCAGUAGCUGGUCUGAGAGGACGACCAGCCACACUGGGACUGAGACACGGCCCAGACUCCUACGGGAGGCAGCAGUGGGGAAUUUUGGACAAUGGGCGCAAGCCUGAUCCAGCCAUGCCGCGUGCGGGAAGAAGGCCUUCGGUUGUAAACCGCUUUUUGGCAGGAACGAAACGGCGCGAGCAAAUAUCUCGCGCUAAUGACGUACCUGCAGAAUAAGCACCGGCUAACUACGUGCCAGACCG
rnacentral:rRNA from 1 species